GAUGAACGCUGGCGGCGUGCCUAAUACAUGCAAGUCGAGCGAACAGACGAGGAGCUUGCUCCUCUGACGUUAGCGGCGGACGGGUGAGUAACACGUGGAUAACCUACCUAUAAGACUGGGAUAACUUCGGGAAACCGGAGCUAAUACCGGAUAAUAUAUUGAACCGCAUGGUUCAAUAGUGAAAGACGGUUUUGCUGUUACUGAUAGAUGGAUCCGCGCCGCAUUAGCUAGUUGGUAAGGUAACGGCUUACCAAGGCAACGAUGCGUAGCCGACCUGAGGGGGUGAUCCGCCACCCUGGCACUGAGACACGGUCCAGACUCCUACGGGAGGCCGCAGUAGGGAAUCUUCCGCAAUGGGCGAAAGGCUGACGGAGCAACGCCGCGUGAGUGCUGAACGUCUUCGGAUCGUAAAACUCUGUUAUUCGGGAAGAACAAAUGUGUAAGUAACUAUGCACGUCUUGACGGUACCUAAUCAGAAAGCCACGGCUAACUACGUG
rnacentral:rRNA from 1 species